rnacentral:sRNA from 1 species
GGGAGCCUUUCCUGGUUUUGGUGAGCAAGUUCUGCUUGUACAGAAAAGCCUAAAGAGACCAUAAGUGAGCCCAUUUUUUGUAUUUCGGUUCAAAGACCUGUCAUCACGGCACAUGGCAGGGGUUUA